rnacentral:lncRNA from 1 species
GGACAUGUUGUCACAAGGAGAGUUUUCGUUGACUUGUAUAUUCUGAAGUAGAACUUAAACCUCACUGAUGUCAACCGCAGCUCUGAAAGCAGUGCAUCCUUGCUAACAAAACUCUGGUUGACAUAGAUACUGUUACCAUUCGAUCUUCCUCCUUUAAUCUUUUCGAUAUCUUUAAAACACAUCAUCAUCUUCCUCAUCCUCAUCUUCAACCUUUCGAUAAACACUGUAAUCCUCACCAUUCUCGUCCGCUUCAGCAACAA